rnacentral:lncRNA from 1 species
GUCUGAUUGACAUCCAGGGGGGUGUAACAAGGUUUAUUUAUAAAAGUGAAAAUUUAUAUUAAAUCUGCAUUUUUUGUAAAAUGAAAAAAAGAGGACACAUUCUUCACACAUAAAGCACUUCAGCAAGUUAAAUUGCUUUAGGUGUCUGGGGUAUCCCUGUGGCAGACCACCAUUAUUUCGCCAACACCGAUUCCCUUUCCCAAAAUAAUGAUGCUCCAACACUCAGAAAAGUAAAUAUCGCUGGUAUCGCCUUUCCCCCCACACAUUAGUCGACACUGAAUGCUGUGAGUAGAUCAGUUUACUUCAGGCAAGCAUUCUCAAUUUAUACACAGAGUAAACUCCUGUGCCUGAGAGAUAAUUGAGUCAGGAAACUUACAACUCAAUUAUCUCCCAGGUACAGAAAAAUAUAACAAUUUUUAAACACCACAAAGGUACCCCCAAAAUCCCCUCGAGAGUCACAUCCCCGGAUAGCCCUGAUCUGAAUGCUUAACAUAUCCAAAAGCACUCAGAUCGGUUUGGUGGUUUGGAAUUUCCAUUGAGGUACUGACCGGCCAGCCACGGGGUAGAAGCCCAAAAUAGUUCCAGAGAAAUUGUGGCAACUGACAGUUUCAGUUUGAGGGUUUUUGUACGGAAGCAAUACACAAUAUCUGAAUGCUUUUAAGUGUUCAAUGUUCCCACCAUUCGGUAGUUUAUAUCUCCUGAAUGCCGUUCGUACAGGUGGUCGGGAACUUGAACAGGCAGCAGUUCCAUAUUCACUGGUGUUUGUGGGCGUGCCUACCCGAAAUAAGUUCCAGGCACUCAAUAACCAGGUAACGCUGCCUGCGUACGGGAGACAAGAUGGUUGCUAUCCAUUCUGUCGACCAUAUGCGUUCAGUUACAUGAAAUGGAGGCCACCCAGGGGAGGCUUUUAGUGAUAGUUUCCAUUGUGGUUUUGCACUGGAUACUUUGUAUUCCACAUUCUAAUUAGAUGUUGGGGUGGUCUUCAUUCAGGAACCAAACAAGGGGAAUUUAAAAUGAGCAAAUGAACAGGGGAAAACGAACAUUACUGAAUCAAGUGAUGGGGCAUUCCGUCACAGUCCCUUUAACCUUAACACAAAUGUGGAUGACAUGACAAAUAUGUUGUUUGCAAAGCAAUGCUUUAAACAGCAAUGUAUAAGUUCAGCACCUUGUGCUGGUCAGUAAACCUGUGCAGUAGUUAUUGGACAAACCAAAAUGUAAUACAAUUCUACAAAAUUUUCAUUCUUAGAAUGGCGAAUAAACGAGUUCCAUUUCUAACAAGAUAAAGGAAACAAAUUGUUUGAUGGACUAUGUAACGGCACCCCCAGGCAUAAAAGGGUUAAACCGCCGUUUAGAAGAUCCAGAGACACAGGCAGCUACUGUAAACACCAAUCCACCGAACCGGAGAAGCAUGUGAAUGCUCCCAAACAUACGAAUACUGUAAACAGACGAAUAGGAAAAACCAUACGAAUAGGUUUACACUCCUAGCAGUCGAACUGGAACAGCAUACAAUAAAUCCCCCCAAGAACGAGAUAAGGCUCUGUUUUGAGGGUCAAGCAGGAACAGACAGAGCUGUGGAUUUAUUGUUCUCAUAUACACAUUCUUACACAUUAGUACCACCCACAGGGUUUUGGAAAACAACCAAUAAACACGUACAAUACACUCAGACACUCCCACAGAAAAUCCUCCCCUCUGCCUGUGAUACAAUUACCUUACACAAUGGGUAAUGUAAUUAUCACAGGCAGAGAAAUACAGUAUUUCCA